CUUAUUGAAAAGUGUUCCAGGGUAUUGCAUAAGCCAGCAGGUUGUGAACAAAAAUGGAAAGCCGUGCUAUGGAAUGUGAGGGCCUAAGGCCCAUCUUCAGUGAGGAACUGUAGAACAUAUGUCGUAGACGACCAUCACCACCAACAAGCUGCCUUACACUCUUGUUAUAUCUAUGACAAUAACUCAAGAGGAAAUUAAAAAAAACAGGUUUUCUAGGUCGGUGCCCUCGUGGCUGUGGAGUUUUUGAAUUCAUCAGUGCGACAAAUUCUGGGAUGCUUGAAACACAAACUACCUAGGAUAGCAAAAUUUACUUUAUCAUCUUUUAAAGUAAGCUAAAAAUAAAUCGUUUUACUCAAAAUGCA